rnacentral:rRNA from 1 species
GUAGUUAGCCGUGGCUUCCUCCACGGGUACCGUCAUUAUCGUCCCCUUCAACAGAAGUUUACAACCCGAAGGCCUUCUUCCUUCACGCGGCGUUGCUGGGUCAGGGUUUCCCCCAUUGCCCAAUAUUCCUCCCUGCUGCCUCCCGUAGGAGUCUGGACCGUCUCUCAGUUCCAGUGUGUCCGUUCAGCCUCUCAGCCCGGAUACCUAUCAUCGUCUUGGUGAGCCGUUACCUCGCCAACUAACUAAUAGGACGCGAACUCCUCUCUCACCGGAUUGCUCCUUUGACCCCUUCGCCAUGUGGCAAUGUGGUCUUAUGCGGUAUUAGCACACGUUUCCAUGUGUUAUCCCCCUGUCAGAGGUGGAUUGUUCACGCGUUACUCACCCGUCCGCUACUAUCUGACUUCCAGCCGAAGCCUUCCGUCUUCCCGUUCAACUUGCAUGGGUUAGGCACGCCGCCAGCGUUCGUCCUGAGCCACGGAUCAAACUCUGA